UACGGGGGGGGCAAGCGUUGUUCGGAAUUACUGGGCGUAAAGGGCUCGUAGGUGGCCAACUAAGUCAUACGUGAAAUCCCUCAGCUUAACUGGGGAACUGCGUCUGAUACUGGAUGGCUUGAGUUUGGGAGAGGGAUGCGGAAUUCCAGGUGUAGCGGUGAAAUGCGUAGAUAUCUGGAGGAACACCGGUGGCGAAGGCGGCAUCCUGGACCAACACUGACGCUGAGGAGCGAAAGCCAGGGGAGCAAACGGG
rnacentral:rRNA from 1 species